GGAAGUGUGCCUGAGAACACAAGGACUACCUUGAUAGAGUAGACACGGAUCACCGCCGACCCACUUCCU
rnacentral:tRNA from 1 species